AGCCAGAGCUUGGGAUCGCUUUCUGCUAUUCAACGUCCUCCACCUCUGCCCCCCUCUCGCCCCAGCCGGUGACAGGCUGUUGCCCUGUGAUCUGCAGGUCCUGGGACGUGCACAGACAGCUAAGAUGCCAGGACAUUCCAGAAGGUGGGAAAGGCACCUGAGUAAUUUGACUCUCCUGCCUGGACCCAGCGUACAGAUGGGAUUGUGCUUCAUUGCUGGACCCAGCAUUUAGGCCCACUACCUAUGAGAUUGCAUGCUCCUGCCUGGGCUGUGCCCACAGUGACCUUGUGACAUAUAUCUGCAUCCAUGACCUAAAAGAUGUGACACUUCUUGCCUGCAACCUGCCCUGCACAGGAAAGAUUGCGACUUCUCCCUGGAAGCAGACACCAGGAGAGAACUGUAACAUAUCCCUGGAUGAGCACCCAGGUGAUGUGAUAUUCCUGCUUGGUUCUUUCCCUCAGGGAAGAUUGUGAGAUACCCUUGGC
rnacentral:lncRNA from 1 species